rnacentral:lncRNA from 1 species
UGAAAAACUUAUGCUUUGUGUUUUAAGUAGCUCACAUUUGUUUAAAAGCUCUGAAGUUCUUUUCAGUUAAGUUUGCUAGACAUUUAUCAAGAUAGUUUUCAAGAAUUUAAUGCGUUAUUCCAAAGGAAAAAGUCGUAGAACCAUAUGGGAUAAACUCUGUUCUAAAGUACCCUCUGAGGAAUUUGAAAACAAUCAGUCAGUGAAUGUUAAUGUACAUGCCUCACCUUUCCGGUAAACUACAGGAUGCUUUUGGCUAGUGGAUCGUUGACUUAUCCAAAGUUUUUGACCAUUAUUUUAAAUAAUAGCAAAAAAUGUAAUUUCCAGUGCAUUGUAAAAUGUCAUUUUCUAAUAACUUGUCACUGCUUUAAAUGUAUCUAGUGGAAUUAAGUACUAUAAUAUGUCAAUACUGAUCUGUUUUUGUAGUUGAAGUUUUAUAUUGUACUGUAUGGAUGCUUUUUUGUUGUCAUAAAUGAGGGAGUGGGGUGCUAUUGGUGUCUAGUUAGAAGAGGCCAAGGAUAUAGCAAAAAAUCCUUCAGUGUACAAAACAAUCCCUGACAACAAGGAAUUAACUCACUAAAAAUGUCGCUAAUGUGCCAUUGAGAAACCUUAACCUACAGAAUUGUCUUAUGUUGUCUGGUUUGGGGCAAAAACAAAAAGUCUUAUUGGUUAUCAUACUUAUACCAAAAGAUAAAUGCAUAUUUAAAUUUAUUGCAUAUCUUGUAACCACAAUGUUCUAAAUGUUAGUCAAUUUGGAGGAAAAAUUUUUAUUACUACUGUCAGUGUAUAGCUGGUCAAACAACAUAAAUAUCCCAAUUUUGAAUAAUUAAACAUAGAAUCUUAAGAUUUUAUUGAAAUACCUUUAUGAGAUUGGAAAAAUUCUUCCUUAUCUAAUCAUUAGUUAUAUUCUCAUAUUGCUUUUGUUUUGUGCCUUGGCAAUUAGUGUUCUGUUAUAGCGUACUCAUUCUGCUUCUGGAUUGGUAAGAGAUAUUCUUUUUAUAAAAGUUGAAUUUCCUCUGUACUAAAGUUCCCAGAGCAGUUUCUGAUAUAUAUGGUUGUUCCAUUACUAGGUGUUACAUAGAUGGAUAGUUGAAAGGAUAAACACUUCAAGAUUAAAUUUUAUAAUAAUCCAACCUAGAAAUGAUGGGUAUUAGCAUCAGAUUAAAUUUUAUUAUAAUAAUCCAAGUAGAAAUGCUGGGUGAAAACUUGUAUAUUUUGGAUAUACAGUAUUCUGAUGCAGAGUGAAGAAAAUUUGCUCAAGAUUUGGAUGUAAAAGGGAAGCAUCAGAUAUCACUGCCUGCCUAUUGUCCUAAACAACUGGAGGGGAUAAAGAUAGAAGCCAAGUGAUCAUACCAGUGAAGUACACUUCUAGACCAUCGACAUCGAAAGUGGGUUUCAUCCAGGAGGGAUUUUGUUCCAUAAGAGAGAGCUAACAGUGUCUGAAGACAUUUUUGAUUUCUUCACGUUUUUUGGCUCCCUGCUGGAUUUUCAGAGUGAAGUC